rnacentral:rRNA from 1 species
GAUGAACGCUGGCGGCAGGCCUAAAACAUGCAAGUCGAACGCCCUAGCAAUAGGGAGUGGCGCACGGGUGAGUAACAUGUGGGAAUAUGCCUUUUGGUACGGAACAACGUUUGGAAACGAACGCUAAUACCGUAUGGUCCCUCCGGGGUAAAGAUUUAUCGCCAAAAGAUUAGCCCGCACUAGAUUAGCUAGUUGGUAAGGUAAUGGCUUACCAAGGCGACGAUCUAUAGCUGUUCUGAGAGGAAGAUCAGCCACACUGGGACUGGGACACGGCCCAGACUCCUACGGGAGGCAGCAGUUAGGAAUAUUGGACAAUGGGCGCAAGCCUGAUCCAGCCAUGCCGCGUGAGUGAUGAAGGCCUUCGGGUUGUAAAGCUCUUUAGCCGACGAAUAUAAUGACUGUAGUCGGAGAAUAAGCCCCGGCUAACUUCGUGCCAGCCGCCGCAGUAAAAC